UACGUAGGUGACCAGCGUUGUCCGGAUUUACUGGGCGUAAAGAGCGCGCAGGCGGUCGUUCAAGUCGAGUGUGAAAGCCCCCGGCUCAACUGGGGAGGGUCAUUCGAUACUGAUCGACUUGAAGGCAGGAGAGGGAAGCGGAAUUCCCGGUGUAGUGGUGAAAUGCGUAGAUAUCAGGAGGAACACCGGUGGCGAAGGCGGGUCUCUGGGCAGUAACUGACGCUGAGGAGCGAAAGCGUGGGGAGCGAACAGG
rnacentral:rRNA from 1 species